AGGUACCAAGUCCCUGGAAUCGGUUUAACCCGGAGAUAGGGAUUCCGGUACCG
rnacentral:sRNA from 1 species